rnacentral:rRNA from 1 species
UGGGGAAUAUUGCACAAUGGGCGCAAGCCUGAUGCAGCCAUGCCGCGUGUGUGAAGAAGGCCUUCGGGUUGUAAAGCACUUUCAGCGGGGAGGAAGGCGGUGAGGUUAAUAACCUCAUCGAUUGACGUUACCCACAGAAGAAGCACCGGCUAACUCCGUGCCAGCAGCCGCGGUAAUACGGAGGGUGCAAGCGUUAAUCGGAAUUACUGGGCGUAAAGCGCACGCAGGCGGUUGAUUGAGUCAGAUGUGAAAUCCCCGGGCUUAACCCGGGAAUUGCAUCUGAUACUGGUCAGCUAGAGUCUUGUAGAGGGGGGUAGAAUUCCAUGUGUAGCGGUGAAAUGCGUAGAGAUGUGGAGGAAUACCGGUGGCGAAGGCGGCCCCCUGGACAAAGACUGACGCUCAGGUGCGAAAGCGUGGGGAGCAAACAGG